GACGUAGGGCGCGAGCGUUGUCCGGAUUUAUUGGGCGUAAAGGGCGCGUAGGCGGUUUGUACAGUCAGAUGUGAAAUUCCUGGGCUCAACCUGGGGGCUGCAUUUGAUACGUAUGGACUGGAGUGAGGAAGAGGGUCGUGGAAUUCCCAGUGUAGAGGUGAAAUUCGUAGAUAUUGGGAAGAACACCGGUGGCGAAGGCGGCGACCUGGUCCUUUACUGACGCUGAGGCGCGAAAGCGUGGGGAGCAAACAGG
rnacentral:rRNA from 1 species